rnacentral:lncRNA from 1 species
AUCUCCGCGCACAGUGGUGGCCACCGCGACUGGUGCUGAAGUGUCGGCGUGUGCCGGGCGCUCCGCUGGGACCCGGGUUGCUCGCCCUGAGUCUCAGCUUUCUCAUCUGUACGGUUGGGACAAGUACAGUAACCCUCGCCCGUCAAGACGGGCCAGGGCUGUGGCGAGGGUCCACGCCUUAGAGCAGGCACCUAUCUUGUGCAGGGCCCUGAGAUGGGGUCUGACUCAGUUCCUGCGGGGAACUUCACCAGUGACCCAGUCAGUGCCCUUCAGUUAAAGACCACCAGGAGCACACUUAUAUCAUGGAAAUCAGGACAGUGGCAGUUCGGAUUGUGGCAAUCAAAGGGGUGGAAAGUGAAUUCUAUCUUGCAAUGAACGAGGAAGGAAAACUCUAUGCAAAGGUAUUGAUAAUUGAUAGCUUAGGCUUAAUUUUUAAAACUCAUUUUUGUUGAAAUAUCUCACCAUUCUGAAAAGUAAACAUGGACUUAAUCUAUCUCCAACUGUAUAAUUUAAUGAUUUUAUUAAAACACUUUAUACUCAAAUGUUAAGAAAAAAUGUUUUCUGUGUGACUUUGGACAAAUGGCUUGUUCUUUGGAUUCUGGUUUCUUCAUCUGUAAAAUGAGUUGAAUUAGCUGACCUCUAAGGAGCCUUCCAGCUCUAACAUUCCAUGUGCAUUUUAGAUAUUUAAAAUCCAAAAUUUCCAUUUGCCAGUAUUAAAGCUCUUUUUGCUAAAGUUCACCCAAUUUGCACAUUGCUGACAUGAAAAUUCUUGGGAAAAAAUCUUGAAAUGUUUAGUUCAUUCAUCAACAUCAAUCUCACAAUCAUGGGCUUUGAACUGUAAUUAUUCACAUUGUUCCCACUUCACUACAAUGCAAAAUAUGUAACAGUUCAUCCCACUGUAAUAAAAUAUAAUUGGCUUUCCUUUGUAUUCCCACAGCUCAGCAUAAUGCCUGGAACAGGCUAAUUAUAUAAUGAUACAGGUUUAAUUGAAUGAACAAAUGGUUGCAUGGAUGAACAAACAAAUUAACCUUUUAUCUUCCAUUACCACUGAAGACAGUGUACAAGUAAAUAAAGAAAAGUUGUGAAACAAGUCUCUCACCUGAGGGAGGCAGAGGUUCUGCUAAUUCUACCAAAUUUCCAGUGGUUAAAGAAUGAGUGAUGUGGGAAGAGUAAUUUGAGGCCUGUUACUUAGGGGGAAAUAGGUCCUAAUUUUAAAGAAUAGUUGACAUGAACUUCCAAAAAGCUACACAUAUUUCACACUAGCUGUGCAUUAUGUGGUGUCUUUAUUUCAAAUUUAAGAUACCUUUUUAUGCAAAUAUACUACAUAAGUCUAGCUAAUAAACCACAUUAGGCCUGCUCAAUCUGAGGGUUAAAAAAAGUUGUGUAUGUUUCAAUUCUACCAAAUAUUGCUGCUUACUCUUCGUUUAAUUGAGCCUCUCUAAAAAUCAUUUGGAUAAUGUUUGUGUGUUUGUUUGUUUGUUUGAACAGAAAGAAUGCAAUGAAGAUUGUAACUUCAAAGAACUAAUUCUGGAAAACCAUUACAACACAUAUGCAGCAGCUAAAUGGACACACAAUGGAGGGGAAAUGUUUGUUGCCUUAAAUCAAAAGGGGAUUCCUGUAAGAGGAAAAAAAACGAAGAAAGAACAAAAAACAGCCCACUUUCUUCCUAUGGCAAUAACUUAAUUGCAUAUGGUAUAUAAAGAACCAGUUCCAGUAGGGAGAUUUCUUUAAGUGGACUGUUUUCUUUCUUCUCAAAAUUUUCUUUCCUUUUAUUUUUUAGUAAUCAAGAAAGGCUGGAAAACUACUG